CCUACGGGUGGCAGCAGUGGGGAAUAUUGCACAAUGGUGGAAACACUGAUCCAGCGACGCCGCGUGAGUGAAGAAGGAAUUCGUUACGUAAAGCUCUAUCAGCAGGGAAGAAAAGGACGGUACCUGUGUAAGAAGCCCCGGCCAACUACGUGACAGCAGCCGCGGUAAUACGGAGGGGGCAAGCGUAAUCCGGAUUAACUGGGUGUAAAGGGGGCGUAGACGGUUCGCCAAGUCCGGAGUGAAAUGGCGCGGCUUAACUUCGGAGCUGCUUUGGAAACUGGCGGACUAGAGUGCGGGAGGGGUAAGCGGAAUUCCUGGUGUAGCGGUGAAAUGCGUAGAUAUUGGGAGGAACACCGGUGGCGAAGGCGGCUUACUGGAUCGUAACUGACGUUGAGGCUCGAAAGCGUGGGUAGCAAACAGGAUUAGAUACCCGGGUAGUC
rnacentral:rRNA from 1 species